GACGAACCGUGCGAACGUUGUUCGGAAUCACUGGGCUUAAAGGGCGCGUAGGCGGGCCCGCCAGUCUGUGGUGAAAGCCCCCGGCUCAACCGGGGAAGUGCCGUGGAUACUGCGGGUCUCGAGGGAGGUAGGGGCGUGUGGAACUUCCGGUGGAGCGGUGAAAUGCGUAGAUAUCGGAAGGAACGCCGGUGGCGAAAGCGACGCGCUGGACCUCUACUGACGCUGAGGCGCGAAAGCCAGGGGAGCAAACGGG
rnacentral:rRNA from 1 species